AUCUUUGUCAAUCGGCGAAAGCCUGACGUAGCCAAGCCGCGUGAAUGAUGAAGGGCCUAGGUUUGUAAAAUUCUUUCACCGGGACCGAGAAUGCCGGUAACGGGUGAAGAAUCUCGGGCGAACUCCUUUCCAGCAGCCGCGGUAAUACGAAGGGGGCUAGCGUUGCUCGGAAUUACUGGGCGUAAAGGGCGCGUAGGCGGACAUUUAAGUCAGGGGUAAAAUCCCAGAGCUCGACUCUGGAACUAACUUUGAUACUGGGUGUCUUGAGUGUGAGAGAGGUAUGUGGAACUACGAGUGUAGAGAUGAAAUUCAUAGAUAUUCGGAAGAACAAAAAUGGCGAACGCGACAUACUGGCUCAUUACUGACGCAGAGGCACGAAAGCGUGGGGAGCAAACA
rnacentral:rRNA from 1 species